GUCAUAGGGGUUGGACUGGCCACAGGGGUUGGAGUGGCCACUGGGCCUGUCACAGGACUUGGAGUGGCUGCAGGGCAUGACUCAGAGGUUAGAGUGGCCAAAGGACGUGGAGUGGCCACAGAGUCGAAUGCAGCUCGGAACAGCAGCAACUUCCUUUGGCCUCACCAAAGUGACUUAAGCCUCCAGCAGUAGCCUUUUGGGAGUCCCUGGCUGAAACUAAGACAUAACUAAUCUCUCCUCCAUUUGCAUAUGAAAUGAUCUGCACUGCUACAUCAUUUAGCUUCCUGACUUCCUCUUCAUGUCCUACAGAAAGAUAAUCAGGAAAAGAAAAACAACCCAAAUCUGCAGGAAGAGGAAUAUAACUUCUAGUAGAAUGAAUAUAAUCAGUUCUUGGUGCCUGCAAUAAUGCUAUCACAUCGCCAUGUUAACAAUAUUCCUUUUAUCUCAAUUGUAUCAAAUGUUAUGUGUAGUCUUUUCUUCAUUUGUUUCAACUACAAGAUCUUUAUGGCCAGGACUCUCUUACUCUGUAGAGUGCCUAACGAAGAUAUUUAAUAUAGCUUGGCAGUUGAAUGCUAUCCAUUAGCACAGAUAAACUGUAGUGGUUUCUAGCCUUCCAGACAAACUUAAUUGCUAACUUUCACUCUUUAACCUCCUUAUUACCUCUAAAUACCUAUUUCACUCCUUGUACUCUUUCUCACUGUUGCCUUAAUUUGACUCUUAGCAACGUAUAAACUACUAUAUCUUAUUUUGGGUAGUUUUUUUCUCCAUGCUGCUAUUUGGUUGUAUAUUUAAAGCACCUCUAAAGUCUUACUAGUGGCUUUUUUGACAGGGAAGCUGGGCUCUAAAAGCUUGUCUGCAGCUUACUUGAUGUCAUUGCUUAAUGCCUCAAUCUGCUUAAAUGCAAAGUGAGGGCAAUGAUUUUGCCAUUCUUUAUGAUGAGUCCUGAUAUUUCUUAACCAAAUGUUCUAUAUGAGUUAAAUAUUAUAAUGUGUUACUAGACACUGCGAAGAACAUUUGGUUGGAUAAUGCAAUCUAUUUAUUAUUGCUCUGCAUCUAUUCAAGGACUUUAAAGUAACAGGGAGAUAUUUCUAUAUGUGUAUAGGAAUCCCGAAAGAACAAAUUUUAGCAUAUGAUGAAUUACAGUGUGGCUGCAGUACACAAAAUUCUUUUCUGCCAUUCAAUUUUCAUUCCCUUCAUGAAAUUAAGAGCAUUAAUUCAUCUAAAGGGCUGAAGGAGCUUCAGUAUCUAACAUCACAUCGAUAUGCUCUACACUACAUGGUGAGAGAGAAGGUUUAUCACUGCGUUUCUCUGGUGAACAACCAGCAAAAGGUUCCUGUUAUGUACAUGAUUUUAUAUUGCUUCUAUCCCAACUGUUUUCUCCUUUCCACCCACUCCCAUCUGCACCUGAAUUAAAAAUCCCGUA